GACGAACGCUGGCGGCGUGCUUAACACAUGCAAGUCGAACGGAAAGGCCCUUCGGGGUACUCGUGUGCCGAACGGGUGCGUAUCACUUGGGUGAUCUGCCCUUCCCUUUCGGUUAAGCCUGGGCCACUGGGUCUAAUACUGAUUCGGACCACGCGCUUCAUGGUGUUUGGUUGAUAGCUUUUGCGGUGGGGGAUGGUCCCGCGGCCUAUCAGCUUGUUGGUGGGGUAAUGGCCUACCAAGGCGACGACGGGUAGCCGGCCUGAGAGGGUGAUCGGCCACACUGGGAAUGAGAUACGGCCCAGACUCCUACGGGAGGCAGCAGUGGGGAAUAUUGCACAAUGGGCGCAAGCCUGAUGCAGCGACGCCGCGUGGGGGAUGACGGCCUUCGGGUUGUAAACCUCUUUCAAUAGGGACGAAGCGCAAGUGACGGUACCUAUAGAAGAAGCACCGGCCAACUACGUG
rnacentral:rRNA from 1 species